rnacentral:rRNA from 1 species
CAAUAGCGUAUAUUAAAGUUGUUGCAGUUAAAAAGCUCGUAGUUGGAUUUCUGGUCGGAAGCUCCUGUCCUCUGAUGAGCGUACAAGUGCGUCCUACCAUCCUUCUGUUAACCUUUAAGGCUUUCGCGGCUUUCUAGGGGCUCAGAUAUUUUACCUUGAGAAAAUUAGAGUGUUUCAGGCAGGCUAGCGCCGGAAUACAUUAGCAUGGAAUAAUGGAAUAGGACUUUUGCCUCUUCUGUUGGUCAUGAGGCUCGAGUAAUGAUUAAUAGGGAUAGUUGGGGGCAUUAGUACUUAACUGACAGAGGUGAAAUUCUCGGAUUUGUUAAAGACUAACUUAUGCGAAAGCAUUUGCCAAGGAUGUUUUCAUUA